rnacentral:rRNA from 1 species
ACGAACGCUGGCGGCGCGCCUAACACAUGCAAGUCGAACGAGCGAGAGAGAGCUUGCUUUCUUGAGCGAGUGGCGAACGGGUGAGUAACGCGUGAGGAACCUGCCUCAAAGAGGGGACAACAGUUGGAAACGACUGCUAAUACCGCAUAAGCCCACGACCCGGCAUCGGGUUGAGGGAAAAGGAGCAAUCCGCUUUGAGAUGGCCUCGCGUCCGAUUAGCUAGUUGGUGAGGUAACGGCCCACCAAGGCGACGAUCGGUAGCCGGACUGAGAGGUUGAACGGCCACAUUGGGACUGAGACACGGCCCAGACUCCUACGGGAGGCAGCAGUGGGGAAUAUUGCACAAUGGGGGAAACCCUGAUGCAGCGACGCCGCGUGGAGGAAGAAGGUCUUCGGAUUGUAAACUCCUGUUGUUGAGGAAGAUAAUGACGGUACUCAACAAGGAAGUGACGGCUAACUACGUG